rnacentral:rRNA from 1 species
UCCUUGGGUCCGGCAUAACCCCGGGAAACUGGGGAUAAUUCCGGAUAACGCAUAUGUGCUGGAAUGCUUUAUGCGUAAAAUGGAUUCGUCCGCCCAAGGAUGGGUCUGCGGCCUAUCAGGUAGUAGUGGGUGUAAUGUACCUACUAGCCGACAACGGGUACGGGUUGUGAGAGCAAGAGCCCGGAGAUGGAUUCUGAGACAUGAAUCCAGGCCCUACGGGGCGCAGCAGGCGCGAAAACUUUACAAUGCGGGAAACCGUGAUAAGGGGACACCGAGUGUCAGCAUCAUAUGCUGGCUGUCCAGGUGUGUAAAAUACACCUGUUAGCAAGGGCCGGGCAAGACCGGUGCCAGCCGCCGCGGUAACACCGGCGGCCCGAGUGGUGAUCGUGAUUAUUGGGUCUAAAGGGUCCGUAGCCGGUUUGGUCAGUCCUCCGGGAAAUCUGAUAGCUCAACUAUUAGGCUAUCGGGGGAUACUACCAGACUUGGAACCGGGAGAGGUAAGAGGUACUACAGGGGUAGGAGUGAAAUCUUGUAAUCCCUGUGGGACCACCUGUGGCGAAGGCGUCUUACCAGAACGGGUUCGACGGUGAGGGACGAAAGCUGGGGGCACGAACCGGAUUAGAUACCCGGGUAGUCCCAGCCGUAAACGAUGCUCGCUAGGUGUCAGGCAUGGCGCGACCGUGUCUGGUGCCGCAGGGAAGCCGUGAAGCGAGCCACCUGGGAAGUACGGCCGCAAGGCUG